AUUGAACGCUGGCGGCAUGCCUUACACAUGCAAGUCGAACGGCAGCGGGGACUUCGGUCCGCCGGCGAGUGGCGAACGGGUGAGUAAUGUAUCGGAACGUACCAUUCAGUGGGGGAUAACUAUCCGAAAGGAUAGCUAAUACCGCAUAUUCUGUGAGCAGGAAAGCAGGGGAUCGCAAGACCUUGCGCUGAUUGAGCGGCCGAUAUCAGAUUAGCUGGUUGGUGAGGUAACGGCUCACCAAGGCUACGAUCUGUAGCGGGUCUGAGAGGAUGAUCCGCCACACUGGGACUGAGACACGGCCCAGACUCCUACGGGAGGGAGCAGUGGGGAAUUUUGGACAAUGGGCGCAAGCCUGAUCCAGCCAUGCCGCGUGAGUGAAGAAGGCCUUCGGGUUGUAAAGCUCUUUCGGCCGGGAAGAAAUCGCAUCAGCUAAUACCUGGUGUGGAUGACGGUACCGGAAUAAGAAGCACCGGCUAACUAUGUGCCAGCAGCCGCCGUAACAC
rnacentral:rRNA from 1 species